rnacentral:rRNA from 1 species
UACAGAGGGUGCGAGCGUUAAUCGGAAUUACUGGGCGUAAAGCGUGCGUAGACGGUUAUUUAAGUCGGGUGUGAAAGCCCCCGGGCUCAACCUGGGAAUUGCAUUCGAGACUGAAUAGCUAGGGUACGGUAGAGGGAAGCGGAAUUUCCGGUGUAGCGGUGAAAUGCGUAGAUAAUCGGAAGGAACAUCAGUGGCGAAAGCGGCUUCCUGGACCA